UCAUUGGAUUAGUGGGGCCAGAAAAGAACGAAGCCAUUAUCUUGGUGCAGGGAGAUUACUCCUGCAAGCAUUCUGGGUUUUAAUGACCUCACAGUAAGGCUGGCUUGUGCAAGCUGCAGUCCCAAACUUAUAGAGUCUCAGGUCUUAAGUCAUUGCACCAGAAUCAGGAUAAGAUGUGUGCUUGAGAGCAGUUCUUGAGAGACACGGUGUCCUUAUGUCUUUAAUGCCUACUUCACUACCAGCCUGGUGGGAAAUCAUGUGAAAACCAAAAUGUGUCUGCGGAACGUCUUUCUCAAGGACCUGGAAGCCAUUCCUUUGAAAUGUAAUCAUUAGGGAAGAUGAGGGUUCUUUCUCCCAGUCUCUAUGGAAGGGUAAGAGUUUAACUUCCAUGAGCGCCAAUCAGCACACACAGGUAGCAUUAUCACACUGAGCAUCCUCACGAAUAGGAUUCACUAGUACUUUCUGCUAAUGCACCCAUGGAUUUAAAAAACUCUCCCAUCUUUUGUUUCAGUGGUUACAUUUAUUAUCUCCCCUCACUGCAGAAGUUUUGAAUAAAGUCUUUCCUUCCUGUUUGAAAAUCAAAGUUUGAAACA